GUAGAGGAAUUGGUCAACUCAUCAGGCUCAUGACCUGAAGACUGCAGGUUCGAAUCCUGUC
rfam:Triticum aestivum genome assembly, contig: Triticum_aestivum_CS42_TGACv1_scaffold_623188_7DS